rnacentral:rRNA from 1 species
AUGAAGCCUAGCUUGCUGGGUGGAUUAGUGGCGAACGGGUGAGUAACACGUGAGUAACCUGCCCUUGACUCUGGGAUAAGCGCUGGAAACGGCGUCUAAUACCGGAUACGACCUGCCCCGGCAUCGGGUGUGGGUGGAAAGUUUUUCGGUCAAGGAUGGACUCGCGGCCUAUCAGCUUGUUGGUGAGGUAAUGGCUCACCAAGGCGACGACGGGUAGCCGGCCUGAGAGGGUGACCGGCCACACUGGGACUGAGACACGGCCCAGACUCCUACGGGAGGCAGCAGUGGGGAAUAUUGCACAAUGGGCGAAAGCCUGAUGCAGCAACGCCGCGUGGGGGAUGACGGCCUUCGGGUUGUAAACCUCUUUUAGUAGGGAAGAAGGGCUUCGGCUUGACGGUACCUGCAGAAAAAGCACCGGCUAACUACGUGCCAGCAGCCGCGGUAAUACGUAGGGUGCAAGCGUUGUCCGGAAUUAUUGGGCGUAAAGAGCUCGUAGGCGGUUUGUCGCGUCUGCUGUGAAAACCCGAGGCUCAACCUCGGGCCUGCAGUGGGUACGGGCAGACUAGAGUGCGGUAGGGGAGAACGGAAUUCCUGGUGUAGCGGUGGAAUGCGCAGAUAUCAGGAGGAACACCGAUGGCGAAGGCAGUUCUCUGGGCCGUUACUGACGCUGAGGAGCGAAAGCGUGGGGAGCGAACAGGAUUAGAUACCCUGGUAGUCCACGCCGUAAACGUUGGGAACUAGAUGUGGGGACCUUUCCACGGUUUCCGUGUCGCAGCUAACGCAUUAAGUUCCCCGCCUGGGGAGUACGGCCGCAAGGCUAAAACUCAAAGGAAUUGACGGGGGCCCGCACAAGCGGCGGAGCAUGCGGAUUAAUUCGAUGCAACGCGAAGAACCUUACCAAGGCUUGACAUAUACCGGAAACUUCCAGAGAUGGUUGCCCCGCAAGGUCGGUAUACAGGUGGUGCAUGGUUGUCGUCAGCUCGUGUCGUGAGAUGUUGGGUUAAGUCCCGCAACGAGCGCAACCCUCGUUCUAUGUUGCCAGCACGUUAUGGUGGGAACUCAUAGGAGACUGCCGGGGUCAACUCGGAGGAAGGUGGGGAUGACGUCAAAUCAUCAUGCCCCUUAUGUCUUGGGCUUCACGCAUGCUACAAUGGCCGGUACAAAGGGCUGCGAUACCGUAAGGUGGAGCGAAUCCCAAAAAGCCGGUCUCAGUUCGGAUUGAGGUCUGCAACUCGACCUCAUGAAGUCGGAGUCGCUAGUAAUCGCAGAUCAGCAACGCUGCGGUGAAUACGUUCCCGGGCCUUGUACACACCGCCCGUCAAGUCAUGAAAGUCGGUAACACCCGAAGCCAGUGGCCUAACCGUAAGGGGGG